rnacentral:rRNA from 1 species
CACGGGGGGAGCAAGCGUUGUUCGGAAUCACUGGGCGUAAAGGGCGUGUAGGCGGUCAAGUAAGUGGAAUGUGAAAGCCCCCGGCUCACCCGGGGAUCUGCAUCCCAAACUGCUUGGCUUGAGUACGGGAGAGGAUAGGGGAAUUCCUGGUGUAGCGGUGGAAUGCGCAGAUAUCAGGAGGAACACCGAUGGCGAAGGCAGAUCUCUGGGCCGUAACUGACGCUGAGGAGCGAAAGCAUGGGGAGCGAACAGG